AGUUUUAUAUUCAAUAAUGAUUUUAGAUUGCAAAUCUAAAGGAGUAAAUUUUUAUUUACUAAAACUA
rnacentral:tRNA from 1 species